rnacentral:snoRNA from 15 species
CACGUCUGGUGAGGAUGAAAACAGGACAGGUUUCGCUAAAAUAUUACCGAAUGCCAAUAUGUCGAGACACCUUGGCUGUCUGAGGACG